rnacentral:lncRNA from 1 species
GGGUUGGGCCCAAUAUCUGUCAGGUGAGGAAUUCAAUGACAGCUUUGCACCUGCUUGUGAAUGGUGAGUUGGGCUUAACUAAGGAGUGUAGUCUAUAUCUGUCAAGUGAGCCCACAUGAUUUAGAGACCAAGUUGCUACAACACACUUAGAAAAGCAUCUGGAUAAGAAGUUAUCUAUGCAUCAGUGUGCGUAUUAUCAAUAUCUGUCAGAUGAGGUACAUAGCA